rnacentral:lncRNA from 1 species
UCUAAGUUUUCUUUCAUAUUUUAUAUUCAAGCAAAAAUGAAGGUGACUUUUCCAUACCCCUGAGUUGCUGCUGCUCUAGCCUGAACACCCAUCUCUGGCUAUCACUCAGUCCUUGGUUUUGGCUCUCUACCUUUCCUGUGCAAAUCAGCGACCUCUCUGCAAAAGAAAAAUUAUCUUUAGAUAGAAGAAAACAGCAUAAAGAAGCCUGACAGUCAUCUUGGGACACAAUAUAGAAACAUUGAAGAACACUACACCUUUGGAAAUUUUACUAUGAUUAGACUGAUUCUUGUAGGAUUUGUCACCCACC